UUACGGCCAUAUCACGUUGAAACAACGGUUCAAGUACGAUCACCGAAGUUAAGCAACGUCAAGCUUGGUAUCUAGAUGGGUGACCACGUGGGAAUACCAGGUGCUGUAA